GUUUUAAUAGUUUAAAGAAAAACGUUGGUCUUGUAAGCCAAUAAUGGAAGCAGUUCCUUAAAACU
rnacentral:tRNA from 1 species